UGAUCCUACGGGACGCAGCAGUGGGGAAUAUUGCGCAAUGGGCGAAAGCCUGACGCAGCGACGCCGCGUGAGGGAUGAAGGUCUUCGGAUCGUAAACCUCUGUCAGCAGGGAAGAAUGGUCACUGUGCUAAUCAGCAGUGAAUUGACGGUACCUGCAAAGGAAGCACCGGCUAACUCCGUGCCAGCAGCCGCGGUCAUACGGAGGGUGCGAGCGUUAAUCGGAAUCACUGGGCGUAAAGCGCUCGGAGGUGGGAUGUCAAGUCAAGGGUGAAACCC
rnacentral:rRNA from 1 species